AAUUUGGGACAAGGGGGGAAACCCUGACCCAGCCAUCCCGCGUGUAUGAUGAAUGCCUCAGGGAUGUAAAGAACUUUUUGCAGAGAAAAGAAGGUAGCCCCUAAUACGGGCUACUGCUCACGGUCUCUGCAGAAGAAGCACAGGCUAACUACGUGCCAGCAGCCGCGGUAAUACGUAGGGUGCAAGCGUUAAUCGGAAUUACUGGGCGUAAAUAGGGUGUAGGCGGUUCGGAAAGAAAGAUGUGUAAGCCCAGGGCUCAACCUUGGAACUGCAUUUUUAACUGCCGGGCUAGAGUAUGUCAGAGGGGGGUAGAAUUCCACGUGUGGCAGUGAGAUGCGUAGAUAUGUGGAGGAAUACCGAUGGCGAAGGCAGCCCCCUGGGAUAAUACUGACGCUCAGACACGAAAGCGUGGGGAGCAAACAGG
rnacentral:rRNA from 1 species